rnacentral:rRNA from 1 species
UAGGGAAUAUUAGUAAUGGGCGAAAGCCUGAACUAGCAACGCCGCGUGUGUGAAGAAGGCCUUCGAGUUGUAAAGCACUUUUUGAGAGGAUGAGGAAGGACGGUACUCUCAGAAUAAGUCUCGGCUAACUACGUGCCAGCAGCCGCGGUAACACGUAGGAGGCGAACGUUAUCCGGAUUUACUGGGCGUAAAGCGCGUGUAGGUGGUUUGGUAAGUAGGGCGUGAAAGCUCCUGGCUCAACUGGGAGAGGCCGUUCUAAACUGCCGAACUAGAGGAUGGUAGAGGGAGGUGGAAUGCAGGGUGUAGCGGUGGAAUGCGAAGAUAUCAGGAGGAACACCAGGGGCGAAAGCGGCCUCCUGGACCAUUGCUGACACUCAGAGGCGAAAGCUAGGG